UACUGACAAUCAUUAGCGGACCGGAGUGCCGCUGUGGCAACCCCUAACCGGGAAAAGCCGAAAGACACAACAGCAACCUUUUGUUUAGUGUCUGCUAUUAAAGUACAUUAAUUAUCCCUCGGCAUGUCUACUCAUGCUGUACUGAUGAACAUUACUGCAGUUUUGAUUAUUGGAACAGAUUCAAAGUCUUCUAGAAUGCACCGCUCACCCCCACUCAAGUCUAAUCACCCCAUCCCAGGAAGUGUAUGUUUUCUGUACUGUGAAGUAAAAAAUAAAAUAAAAUCAUAAAAUUAAGCAGAAAAUCCGUCUCCCCAUGCAAAAAAAAAAAAAAAUAACAAAGCCUAUAACUCAGUAAAAUAAAAUUGUGGUAAACAUGUAAGGGCUUCUUAAUUUUAAAUUUACGACCAUCUUACUGAUCUAAAUAUUUUUUAAAAGUAUAUUUAUAUCAUGAAGCACAUGAUAUAUAUUUGGCUAAACCCUAGUCACUUAACAGUUUCCAUUUAAUUUGUUACUGUUUUUUUUUUUAACCCAGGAAGAUUGUAACUAAAACGGGCUUACCUGUUUUUAAUAAUGUAAGUAAUAAUUAUUUGGAAAAUUUUAAAAUAAGUAAAAAAUUGUUUAGGAAAUGACAUACCAAUAUCUUCACAAAUUCUAGUUCGCUAAGAAUUUGUCAUGCACAGCCCAUAAGCAUACCUGACUCCACGUAAUAGGUUUUAAUCUGAUUAGGUAUGUCACUUUCAGAUUCAACCAGGAAAAAAGUAUGUAAACUGAUGGAAAAUCUUAGGUGCUUGAUUAAUAUGUCAAAAGCAAAUUCUAGUUCGCUAAGAAUUUGUCAUGCACAGCCCAUAAGCAUACCUGACUCCACGUAAUAGGUUUUAAUCUGAUUAGGUAUGUCACUUUCAGAUUCAACCAGGAAAAAAGUAUGUAAACUGAUGGAAAAUCUUAGGUGCUUGAUUAAUAUGUCAAAAGGAUUCAUAAACAUGGAGCAAGAAAAUAAAACAAAGUAGAGAAAGGACGAGGUAGUUUAAAAGCACAUGAAAUUGGGAAAUGAACAAUUAAAAUUUUAUUCCAAUAUCAAGUCUGAUUUUUUUUUUUUUUUUUUUUGCUGGCUACAUUCUUUUAUACUCUAUAUUUUUCUUGUGCAAAUCACUUGUAUUGCUCUAUUUAGAAGUGUUUCUUUCCUAUUUGUGAGGGGCUAUAUCUUGUGCAUUUUGACAGUUUACAACUCCUGUUAGUCUGUUAUGACUUAGUCACUCAGGUGCUGGAUUAAACCAGAAAUUUUAUUGUUUGAUUGUAAAAAUGUUGCUUAUUUUCUUUUGCAUAUUGUUUUACCAUUUGUUUGUACGUGUCAAGUUUAUGAAAGUGGUACUAUUUUUCAAUUUUUUUGUUACUUUUAAUUUCAUUGUUUUUCUCCAGGUCAUGGUGAUUGGGUAUAAAACUAUACUUUUUUUAUAAAAGCAAUCCAGUGUGCACAUGAUUUUAAUUUAGAAGUUACUUUUGUUAUUCUUGCUCAUUUUCAUAUGGUAAGGCCAUUUGAAAAGGUGUUAACUAUUUCCCACAUUCAUGUAUGGCAUAGUGAUGCUUUUGUUUUGACACAGUGGGUAAAUAGCAAGUGGUGCUGAUGUAUCUGAAUAUUUUGUGCAGUAAUUAAAUUGAUUGCACUGCUUGGCUGUUACAUUUUAUGCAGGGGUAUAGAAAUGUAGUGAUGUCCUUCCUGUGAUCAUUGCUGCAAUAUUAUUAAUCACUGAGAUAGGCAGGGCUAGUCGUAUGUCCAGCCAGGAGACCAAAGCCUAGGCGUUUUCCUGUUGCUCUCUACGUCCAACAUAUGACCAAACACACUAAGUUUAAGUGGUACAUAAAAGGGACACACAGGUGUGAAGUACCUCAGAACUUCUCCCCCACCUAGCCUGAACACUGAACCUGCAUUUCUUUGUCAGCUUGUCAGAUGUAGAACCAUUGCUAAUUCCCCUUGCUUUGGGCAGAUAAGUAUCCCUACUGGGAACAAUUCCUCUUUUAAUUUUUUGACAAAGUAAUAACCUUCUUCAUGCCAACUAAGAAGGAAAAUUAUGAUUGUGAAAGGCAAGUACCGUACAGGAUCCGUCACAAAGUGUCUUUUUUGCCUAGAACCCAAUCAAGGGUUUAGAAAUUUCUCUGUGUGCCAAUCUUUCACACCUGUGACCCUCAGGAGCUAUUUGCUCUCCCUUAAUAAUUACUUGGAAAAUCAAAGCCUCAAAGAGCUUCCUCAUGUAAAAAUGGAUUCUGACCCUUCUCACUUAGAUUUCCUGCAGCAGCUGAAAAAGAAGCUAAAAAAGCCUAAAUCUGAUGCUUCAUCUAUCCAAACAGACCCGUACAACUCCACUGUAUCUCAUGAUGAGUCCUCAGACCAUCUGGGUGCAUUGUAUGUCUGUCACAACCCCUUAGCAUGUCCACAUCAACCAGUCAGGCAACUGCCUCAGCUGCAAAGGGGGAACCAAGGCUGAUUGUUUGAAGGGACCCAACAGCAUUCAUCAGAUUCUUGUCUGAGAGGAAAUACCUGGUUCCCUCAUUGAGGUAUAUUGGGGGUUUGAGCCUCCUUGGUAUAUGCAAGCUUCUCUUUCCUGUAAGAAAAAGUGUACCUUUCCUUCUCCCCAGCUAUUAGAGAAUCGCAGAAAGAGUGGUGUGAAUUCUUCCAAGGACUGUACAAAGCUUUGGUGUCUGUAAAGCCUCCACAGUUCUUUUCUUAUGCGCCCCCUCAUUUCACUGCUUCCAUUCUGAAGAAACCGAGGGAUUCCACAUGUGAGGAAGAAAGGUCAGGUUGGGAUUGGGAUUCCCUGUCUUAUUGUUCUCAGUUCAGUUUCUUAUGGAGUAUGAGUUAGAGGAAGAGGAGUCAGGUUCGGAUUGGGAUUCCCUGUCUUAUUGUUCUCGGUUCAGUUUCUUAUGGAGUAUGAGUUAGAGGAAGAGGAGUCAGGUUGGGAUUGAGAUUCCCUGUCUUAUUGUUCUCAGUUCAGUUUCUUAUGGAGUAUGAGUUAGAGGAAGAGGAUGCUAUGUCUGCUGAUUCCUCUCUGGAAAAGCUUUCCUUUGAGAAUGCACAGAAUAAAAUGAUUCAGCAUUUUUAAUGGGUAGGUAAGCAGGUGUCAGAGAUUUAGAAAAUGAACUACGACUUCAUGUUCACAGGUGUUCCUAAAUCCUCUGCCAACCUUCCAGUACUUGAGACUUUACAGAAUGUCUGUCACAUCCUCAGUGAAUAUGAAGACCCUGCUUCCAAUCCCUAAGAAGUCUGAGACCUUCUGUAAAGUAUCAGGUGUCCAGAAGUUUUUGUAGAACACUUCCUCUGACCCUGAUGUCUUUUUGUUAGAUUCUCUUCCACUCCGGCCUUUUAUGCUCUUAAUUACUAGACACGUAUAACCAGAUAUUUGUUAUGUCUGUUUGGGGACUUGGAUAAACUUCUGUCUGAUAUGCCUGAUUCUGUUAGCUAAUCUGCUAUUUCUUUGCUCAGUGCUGCUUCCCAGGUUACAAAGUUUUCUAUUAAAUGCAGCUGUGAUGCUGCUCAGUUCAGGGCUGGCGUAUUCUUACAUAAAGGAUGUCUGUCAGGCAUUUCUGCAUGCCUUCCUUUUGAGCCACCUUUGUCUUUAUGUUUUGAGGUCAGAAAGUUUAUAAAAGGCGUCCUUCAACUCAGACCCUCUAAAAAUCCAUCCAUCCCUCCUCCUUGGGACCUAAAUUAUGUCUUUUCUGCUUGGAUGAUGGUAGCCCUUAUUUCUGCCAAAAGGAUUUCUGAACUACAGGUUCUAAUGGCCUCUUCUAAUUUUUAUGGUUUUCUGUAAACAUACGGUUAUACUCAGGGCUGAUUCUUUUUUGCCUAAAGUGGCAAGUGAACCGUCUUUGAAACAGACUGUUAAUUUCCUUACUUUUUGUUUCCAUCCACUCAAAACAAGGGGGAAAGAAUCCUGCACUCUUUGGAUGUUCACGUACAACUGAGGUUUUACCUUUAUAAAAUCAAGUCUACCAGAAAAUAAGACAAGCUUUUCAUUUUGUUUCACAAUAAAAAGUUUGAUCUCCCUGUUUCUAAGCAAAUUACUUCUGAAUGGAUCUCUUCUGUCAUUUCCUUUUGUUACUCUCUUCAUGGUAAGGAGCUUUCGAGUUUAGUCAGAGUGCAUUCUACCAGACCUGCUUCUUCUGGUGCCUGUUUCAAGGGUGUUGAUUCCAGAUCUGUUUUAGAAGCCUCUGCCUGGCCCUCUGUGCAUACUUUUCCUAAACAUUAUAAGACUGAUGACAUUUCUAGGACUAGAUUUGUCAGCUCCAUCUUGCAAAGGAUCUUAAGAUUCCAUCUCUGUACCUUAUUUUUCAUCCCAGGACACUUCCUCUUCCCAGUGGUUAUUUUAUUACUGUUAACAGUGAUUUUAGAAAGGACAUAGUACAGUUGUGUAAGAACUUACUAUAAUGUUAGAUGUCCAACUGAUCACUGUUGCAGUAUUCUAUCCCUCUGUCCUUCCCUCUAUUUUGUCUUAGUUUUCUGCUCCGGCCAGUGUGGUAUCCUAUCCUUCUCGCUUUUUUUGGUGACCUCUUAUUUUUGUUGCCUUCCUGACUUUCUAGUGUGGGACAAAAAAGUCCUUAGAUACUUCACCCCUCUAUGUCCCUUAUGACCCCACAUAGCCUUAGUGUGCUUUGAUUAUAUAGCAGAUGUAUGGCGCAAAUGGUAGAUACCCAGGCUUUGGUAUCCUAACUGGAUGUACAUCUGCCCCUGGCAGAGGAUAUCCCAGUGGUUAGCUGUACUGCAGUAGUAAUCAGUCAGACAUGGUAAUUUCUUACAUAAGUGUACUUUGGUGUUGCUUCAGUGCUAUCUUUAGUGCUGCUUUGACAAUGGCAUUUGCUUAGUGCACUGUGCAGAAUUGCUUCUUAAUUAAAUUUAGACGGAAAAAGUAAAUGUACAUUAGAAUCAUGGCUGGAAAUGUGGCUUAAAAAUAUGACCAUUUGACUAAAAUUUUACAAAGACUAGCAAAGUAUUUAUUUAUAAAGAAUAGUUUUGUAUUUGCUUCUCUGAGAUCUUAGUAACCAUAUUAUGAGCAUUCUGAGGAGAAUAACCACUUUUUAGUUGUUCUAAGAAGGAGAGUGCCUUGGCAGCCAGCACUAGCGGCAAAUCUGAGUAGACUGUCAGGGUAUGUACAGUGCAGCGAAGCUUUAUGAAACUGUCAAGAGAAAUUGUUUAAAUGCUGGAAAGUACAGACAUAUGGGACUACCAGUGCUACAGAAAGGAAAAUUACAGUAAAUCUGUAGGGUCUGAUACUGCAGCAUCUACUGUGCUCUUUGCAUGUUUCAUGUAUCCGUGUGUAAAUGUAUAGGAUUUAACAAAAUAAUGCUAUAUAGUACUAAUGGUACUAGGAGAUGGACCAGGACUAAACAGCCACAUAAUUCCAACUGUAUUGUUGGAGGCUGAGCUAAUGAAAAUGUUAAGACACUUUGUUUUCAUUUAAGUCAUUUCUGUUUUGUGUCAGUUCAUUUUUUGGCUUUGGUGCCUUUUAUGUAGACUCUGCACAUGCUUCCUUUGUCCAUGUGAGUUUUCACUGGGUGCCUUCCACAUUCCAAAGACGUGCCAUAGUUGAAAGAGCAAUUUUCUAAAUCACUCGUACUUGCAUAUGCCUUGUGUGAGUGAGUGAGUGAGUGAGUGAGUGAGUGAGUGAGUGAGUGAGUGAGUGAGUGAGUGAGUGUGGCUUUGUGCAUCCUGUGAUAGCUUGGCACUGAGUCCAAGAUCAGUUUCCUCUGCCUCGUCCCCAUUGGCUGUGAGGAUAGACUCUGACUCCAUGUGACCCAGAAUUGAAUUAAGCAUGAAAUCAGAAAAUGAAUAAUGAAUGGAUGAAUGACGGAGUGAAUGAAAGAAAAUUUUGUAUCUCCAAAAGGUUGAGAAUAAAGUUUAGCGUUUAAUAAUGUGUGUCUAUAUAUAUAUAUAUAACACACACACAUAUCAAAUGUACCACCCAACCUCUAAAACUGCAUGGCUUCUGAAGAGCCAGCUUAUUAUGUACCCCUCUUUUAGCUCAUUUGCGUCUGCCCACACUUUUACUGAUGAGCCGUGAAAUGAACUGUUCACUGGCAUAUUGGACAGUGAAUGUCCACAGCCAUGGAAGAAUAAAAACAGAAAUGAAAAACAAAAUAAACUGUAAGAAAAUCAUUUAAGUAAGUCUUUUAUGCAUUGUUGUUUUGCAUGUUCAGUUCAGUUAUUUUCUUACAUAACAGAUUAAUUAUUCUUCUGAAUGCUUUGAAUUCAGUGAAAUGAUUAAGUGAGCUGAUUGUGGUCUGCCUUUGAAGUCUUCCUUUCUACCAGGGUCCUUUUCCUUCCACGUAAUUAUCAGGCUAUCAUGUAUAUGUUAUGUUAAUUUAAGGUACUCAUUUGCUACUCAGAGCGUAGGUGUCAAGAUGGGAGACUUGAAGGUGUGCUUUUAGAACACUCUAUCCGCAGAACUCAGCUGCAUGCUCUAUUUGUAGGAGGCUGAUAGUGGAUUGUUUAAGCACAUAUUACUGCCAUAAACCUCCACUGUAUUAAUGCAGAGAUACAGAAAGAUGAUAGCAGCUAAUACACAGCCUUCUACUGUUGAAACGUUUAGGUACCUGUCUGAGGAUCCUAUCCGGUGUCAUGUAGACAAAAGGGAUUUUGUAAAAUUAGUUUACCUCAUUCUUCUUGCCCAUCAAUGAUGUACCAUUAUAACACUAAAACCACUUUAAAUUUACAAAUUUCCAUUUCAGAAGAUCAUCAUGUGAGGUUAGUCCAGUUGCACAGAGGCUGACCAGUAUGGUUUUCUCCCAAGAGACACUGCACAUUUGAACACUGCUCUUCUGAGAUGCACUCAGAAUGUGACAGGCCUCUUCUGGCUUGCCAUUCUGGGCCUCUUCAUUCCCACUGCAUUAUAACCACUGAUUUGUCACUUUCAUAAAAGCAGAUAGCCAGGUGGCUGGGGCAGAUGGAAUAAAUUGAUUUAGUGAAUUUUUGUAAGAGCGGAGCCUCAAGUAUCUAACGUAAACCAUCAGCAUUUAAAAUUACAGCAUGUCCAUGCAGCUUUCACUGCAGGCACGUGUGUGCUAAAAAAACAAGCUUUUAAAAACACUUGCAUUAGUUUGCUCCUUCAUAUUUGUGAACCAUGUCAUUUUCCGCAUUAUUUAGAGUUGUAUGGGUGCCUUUGGAUUUCUGUUAAUGUCCAUAAUUUUUUUACACAGGCCUUUCCUUAUCAGACAUGUUUCAUGUACAUCUAUUUAAAGUUACUGAAAAUGAAUGUUUCCAUCCCUUAACUUAACUGCAGAUAAUAGGUGCACAGAUUGAGGAACACACUGAGGCCACCACUUGUGGCAGUAGCAUUUCAUUUUGUUUUAUGUUCACCAGUGGAAAACAACACCAAGAUUGUUUUUGUUGCCUUCCAUUUCACAGCCUGCAUUUGCCCUCUUAGUAGUGUGAGCCUUAUUUUUUAGUGAUUGUUAUGAGUAAGAGGAAAACAGGAACAGCAAUCAUUUGUGCAUUUGUGUUAGUGACUGCUUUAGUGUUAAAGUAGACUAUUGUGAAAUUUGCCAUUCUAGUAAGAUAUUUCUCAUUAGCUGUUAAAUACAGGUGUCGCUUAAUCAAACAUGAUGUUUCUGUUAUUGAACUUAAUGUAAGCUGUUUUACACUUCUUGCAGGGAAUUAUUUUUGGAAUAAUGACUCGUAAUAAAUGACUACAAAACUUAA